GACGAACGCUGGCGGCGUGCUUAACACAUGCAAGUCGAACGGAAAGGCCCUGCUUUUGUGGGGUGCUCGAGUGGCGAACGGGUGAGUAACACGUGAGUAACCUGCCCUUGACUUUGGGAUAACUUCAGGAAACUGGGGCUAAUACCGGAUAGGAGCUCCUGCUGCAUGGUGGGGGUUGGAAAGUUUCGGCGGUUGGGGAUGGACUCGCGGCUUAUCAGCUUGUUGGUGGGGUAGUGGCUUACCAAGGCUUUGACGGGUAGCCGGCCUGAGAGGGUGACCGGCCACAUUGGGACUGAGAUACGGCCCAGACUCCUACGGGAGGCAGCAGUGGGGAAUAUUACACAAUGGGCGGAAGCCUGAUGCAGCAACGCCGCGUGCGGGUUGACGGCCUUCGGGUUGUAAACCGCUUUCGCCUGUGACGAAGCGUGAGUGACGGUAAUGGGUAAAGAAGCACCGGCUAACUACGUG
rnacentral:rRNA from 1 species